rnacentral:rRNA from 1 species
GGGCCCGCACAAGCGGUGGAGCAUGUGGUUUAAUUCGAUGCAACGCGAAGAACCUUACCUACUCUUGACAUCCAGAGAACUUAGCAGAGAUGCUUUGGUGCCUUCGGGAACUCUGAGACAGGUGCUGCAUGGCUGUCGUCAGCUCGUGUUGUGAAAUGUUGGGUUAAGUCCCGCAACGAGCGCAACCCUUAUCCUUUGUUGCCAGCGAUUCGGUCGGGAACUCAAAGGAGACUGCCGGUGAUAAACCGGAGGAAGGUGGGGAUGACGUCAAGUCAUCAUGGCCCUUACGAGUAGGGCUACACACGUGCUACAAUGGCGUAUACAAAGAGAAGCGACCUCGCGAGAGCAAGCGGAACUCAUAAAGUACGUCGUAGUCCGGAUUGGAGUCUGCAACUCGACUCCAUGAAGUCGGAAUCGCUAGUAAUCGUAGAUCAAAAUGCUACGGUGAAUACGUUCCCGGGCCUUGUACACACCGCCCGUCACACCAUGGGAGUGGGUUGCAAAAGAAGUAGGUAGCUUAACCUUCGGGAGGGCGCUUACCACUUUGUGAUUCAUGACUGGGGUGAAGUCGUAA